rnacentral:rRNA from 1 species
UACGUAGGGGGCUAGCGUUGUCCGGAUUUAUUGGGCGUAAAGAGCGUGUAGGCGGCCAGGUAGGUCCGUUGUGAAAACUGGAGGCUUAACCUCCAGCUGUCGAUGGAAACCAUCUGGCUAGAGUCCGGAAGAGGAGAGUGGAAUUCCUGGUGUAGCGGUGAAAUGCGCAGAUAUCAGGUAGAACACCCGUGGCGAAGGCGGUUCUCUGGGACGGUACUGACGCUGAGACGCGAAAGCGUGGGGAGCGAACAGG